rnacentral:rRNA from 1 species
AGUGAACGCUGGCGGCAGGCCUAACACAUGCAAGUCGAACGGCAGCACAGCCCCGCAAGGGGUGGGUGGCGAGUGGCGGACGGGUGAGGAAUACAUCGGAAUCUGCCCAGUCGUGGGGGAUAACCUCGGGAAACCGGGACUAAUACCGCAUACGACCUUAGGGUGAAAGCGGAGGACCGCAAGGCUUCGCGCGAUUGGAU